GAGCGAGGGAAAGAAGAAAAACAAAGAAGAGAAGAAGAAGCAGAGCCGGUCUGGAAGAAGCGCGGAAAAGAAACUGAGAGAACCUGGAGAAGGAGGAGGAGGAGGAGAGGCUGAGAAGACGGCGGGGCAGAGUCGAAGUGAGCAGCAUCGCCUACAAACUAUAGAAAAGAGCGGGAGAGCCAGUUCGCCGGCUGGUUGAGACCUGUUGCAGGCUCGGAAAGCAAAGCUGUCUGCCGGUGCUGAAGACAGAGCUGGUGGCCCAAUGAACUGUAUUAAAUAACACAGAGAGUGUGAAGAUGGCAGGUGGAUGUGCCGGUUUGAAGCCAACAACCACAAUGCUGCGGUCCAUGACAACAUGAGAUGUAAACAGUAAGAGGACUGCCCCCACCCAGCAGGGUGCAGCAGACUCAGACAGGGACUCACAGCUGGAGACUGAACCUGAAGAAAACUGCCAAAGGCGGAGACGUGACGUGACGCAGCCCGGACAGCUGAUGGAGACCGAGGCGAUCAGGGCUACACACCACUUAGUGUUUGUCCACAUUAGAUGUUGGACUUUUGGUUCACUCGGAACAAACACAUGUAGCCCUUGGCCUGUUGUCUGCUGUGCUUCCCUCUUUUCCAGGUUAUUAUACAGCAGGUUAUAUAUGCACUUUAUUUGAAGUUAUAUGCUGUUAAGUGCUGUUUUUGUUGAUUUCAUGUGUUGUUGUCAUUUUUGAGGACAGAGACAUGUUGUUGCUCUGAAAAUAAAAUGUAAUAUGUGAAGUCAGAUCUUUAUUUUCUUGUCAGUUAUCAUGAAUACUGUUUCUCUUUGUCUCUCUGCCUGUUAGACGCUAUUCAACACUAGAGUGACUAAAGCGCAUCAGUAGACUUGUUAUUUUGGUUAUGAAUUUCCUUCAAAAUACGAUCAUUUGAUGUCUGUGGUACGAUAAUCCUACAUUUCCCAGCUGGCAACGCUGGUUCAGUGAGUUGUUGAGUUGGAGCCACUUUAUAAACUGUGUGAAACUCUG